rnacentral:rRNA from 1 species
GACGUAGGGGGCGAGCGUUGUCCGGAUUUAUUGGGCGUAAAGAGCUCGUAGGCGGCUCAGCAAGUCGGGUGUGAAACCUCCAGGCUCAACCUGGAGACGCCACCUGAUACUGCUGUGGCUAGAGUCCGGUAGGGGAACACGGAAUACCCGGUGUAGCGGUGAAAUGCUUAGAUAUCGGGUGGAACACCAGUGGCGAAGGCGGUGUUCUGGGCCGGAACUGACGCUGAGGAGCGAAAGCGUGGGUAGCAAACAGG